AUUAUUGGCAGCUGCAGACAAGUGGUUAAGUGGUUUGGCAGAAUGGCAAGUUCCUACUGCUGGAAUGUUUUUAUGGGUUAAAAUUAAGGGCCUUCAUGAUGUAAGAAAACUGAUUGAAGAGAAAGCCUUUAAGAAAGAGAUAUUCAUGCUUCCUGGAUAUCAUUUCUACCUUGAUAGUUCAGCUCCUUGCCCCUACUUCAGAGCAUCCUUCUCUUUAGCUUCUCCAGAGCAGAUGGACAUGGUGAGUACAAUAUUCUCUUUAGAGUAAAAGUAGAUAUCCAUUUAUUUUUUGUGUUCAUUCUGUGAGUUACAACAUUAUUUGAUAUCUUCUUGGGUUUCUGCAAAAUGGGUAUUAGUUGGAAAGUCACAAACUACCAUUCAGAGAAGUUGCCAGGCUUCUAUAGACAAAUGAUGCGACCAAAUUGGAGUUGAAUUUUAUUGCUUUCAUGAAUACAUGACAGACCUGUUCAACAGUGUUGGCAAAUUAUCAACACGUUAAAAAGAGAAACUCUUUCAUUUCUUCAUAGAAUUAACAUGAGCCAUAGUACAAAUUCAUAAAGCCAUCCAUCUCUAUCUCUUGAGGAAGGGUCAAAUAGAAUAAUAUGAAUGAUUGGAGUUCAGUAAUUGCUUAAUCACAAAGUCCAGCUUUAACCAGGAUUACAGGAAACCAAGAAGCAAGUUCCUAAGAACUGUGUGUCGGGAACCCACAGAAGAGCCAUAAACUGAAGAGUCCAGGAAGUGUAAGAAGAGUGUAUACUUAUCCUUGGAGAUGGGCUGUCUCCGGCUGUGUUCUUGAUUGACUUCCUUUCUCAUGUCAUUAAAUAUGCUUUUCAUAAGUUAUAUAUGCAUAGAGCUGGACAACUGAAACUAUACAGAAGGCAUGUGCAGGUGAGAGAGUAUAUGAAAAAAAUAAUUCGUGUUCUGGGAGAAGAUGAUGAUCUUGAGGGAAUAAGGAUUUGAAAAAUUUCCUGGGCCUCUGAUGUGCUUUCGUCUACGUAUAUUAGUGGACAUGACGGCCUCUGACCCAGAUAAAACUGAGGUUAAUCCUGACUUUUCACUGUCUGAUCUCAACCUAAGAUGGAUACUCUUUGUUUAAAUUUCUCAAGUUAUGACAGACUUUUCCUAAACAGCAUCCUAAUUUUAUUAAUUCUUCUCUCUGUUCGCUUUUAGGCCUUCCAGGGAUUAGCCCAACUUAUAAAGGAAUCUUUAUGAAGAAAUCGAACUCUUCAUAGCACUCACGGUUUUCAGAUAAAUUAUUUCUAUGUUUUAGCAGGAAGAAAUGAUUGUUGGUGUCAGACUUACAGAUUGGGUUUCACCAAAUACGUCAUAUCUGUAGUAAUUUAACUAGACAACUUUUAAAGUGCCCUUGAAUGCAUCAGAUUGCCAAAAUAUAUUUAUAAUCCACAUAUACAUGUUGAUACAUUUUCAAUCCACAAAAAAAUAUUUUUAUCCUGGAUUUUAUUGUAAAGAUUUUUGUAGUUGCUUUAUCAUUUCCCAUAAAUUUUCUUUGAAAAUAACAUUUUUACAGUAAAUUAUUUGUAAGCAAACAAUCAUGUUCAAAAUGGUAUGUAAUGUGAACUUCUCCUAUUUUGAAGAAAAAGUAAUGAGAGCUUGUUGCAAAAAUUGUUAGAAUUUGACCGUUAUACAUAAUUUUUAGUAAGAGUAUCACAGACAUUAUGUUAUGGCACAGAAAUCUAUUUAAAAUAAAAUUCUGAAUCUAAACAUA